UACGUAGGGGGCGAGCGUUGUCCGAAGUUACUGGGCGUAAAGCGCGCGUAGGCGGCUUAUUAAGUGACUGGUGAAAUCCCCGGGCUCAACCCGGGGUGGUCUGGUCAUACUGGUAAGCUAGAGUGUGGGAGGGGAGAGCGGAACUCCUGGUGUAGCGGUGAUAUGCGUAGAGAUCAGGAAGAACACCCGUGGCGAAGGCGGCUCUCUGGACCAUAACUGACGCUGAGGUGCGAAAGCCAGGGGAGCGAACGGG
rnacentral:rRNA from 1 species